rnacentral:rRNA from 1 species
UACAGAGGGUGCAAGCGUUGUUCGGAAUUAUUGGGCGUAAAGGGAGUGUAGGCUGUGAGGUAAGUCUUCUGUGAAAUCUACGGGCUUAGCCUGUAACGUGCAGAGGAAACUGCUUCGCUUGAGCGUCGGAGAGGAUAGGGGAAUACCCGGUGUAGAGGUGAAAUUCGUAGAGAUCGGGUGGAACACCAGUGGCGAAGGCGCCUAUCUGGCUGACAACUGACGCUGAGACUCGAAAGCAUGGGGAGCAAACAGG